UGGGAAGGCUGAGGGAUCUGUGUGUGAGAGACACGCUUUCUGAUGCAAGUGAGCUAUACAAGGGUCAUCACACAGGAAGUGAUGUCAGGCACCCAGGGGUAUAUAAACCCAGAGGGUUGUACUUCAGUUCAUACAGCUGAUUGGAACAGUGUGUACUACAGAGAGGCAUUGCGACAGUCAUUUGUACUGACUCUUUGUAAAAACAUUCUUGCCCAAUCCUGGGAUUUAAUUGUUUUAUGAGCUUUUGAAUAACUGAAGUGAUAAUCCAUGAGGUGAAUUUUAUCCGAUACCGUUCUGAUAAUGUGUCUACUUUUUGAAGAUUUAUUGUGCUGAUUAUCUGUUUUGAAGUCUCUGGAUUGUAAAGCCCCUGAUGAAGUCCGCAGGACGAAACGCGUUGGAUUUUUGAGACAACAAUUGCGUUCUUAAAUUGAAGAAUCACUGCUAUACGAUUAGAAUGGAACAUUGGUUUCAAUCAUCUCAUGUAUAAAGUAUCAUUGAAUGUAAUUGAACAAUUU